rnacentral:lncRNA from 1 species
GCUUUUAAUUCUUCACCACCGGAGAACACAAGGGCCUUCUAUUAAAUAUGGAGGGCUGCCACAGAUCGCAUAAUGACAUUCUGCAAAGAAGUAAGAAGGUCGGCAGCGUCGAGAGAACAUUUCAUUCGUCGAGUUUAUGCAAUAAGAAGACUAAUCCCACAAGCGAAGCAACACAACGCGAGGGUUCAACAGCUAACUAUCUCAAUUUCAGGUCACUGUGUUUAACAAAUUAGCAAACCCCUCAUCAAAGUGCACAGAAGUUUAGACAACUAUGAUGUUUGUGUUAAGAUGUAGUUAGAAAGAAAGGCGUGGUGUAUCCUUAUGUUAUAGGGUAUGAUUUGAUACUUUUCCCUAGAAAUCUGGUGAACUAAUAUAAAUGCGUACAUAAAUACCGUUACUUUCCAUGAAUAAUCUACACAUUCGGAAAACAUGUGUAUGCAUUGUAGAUAUCUGUUCUCUCAUUUAAGUAAAAGUAUUAUUCAUUAGACUUAAUAACAGAACCCCCUUACCUCAGCAUCCUUUCUCCUAACCAUCAGACUCUUAACAUAUUUCAAUAAAAUGAUACCAGGAAAGGAUUGAUACACACCAAUUUCCAGGCUUUGAUUCAUCUUUAUUCCAGAUUUCCUAAGAUCAAGUAUAUGUUUUCAGUUUAGCCUACUAUUAGUACUAGUAUCUGCUAUAAUCUUAUGAUCAUAAUACAACAGGUUGUAUAUCACAAUUGUGCAGACUAUUGCAAAUGUUGUAUGUUACAGUUAUCAGGUUUAUUACUCCUAAUUAUCUAUUACACUCAUAGUUACAUAGGUGACUCCAGAUUGAGGCUUCUGUGAAGCCUGUACUUCCAGUUCUUGAUUUAUAAUUACACUACGUUGUUGAGCUCGAGAGGUUGCAAGGUUAGCUAUGCCAGGUUAGGUUAGAUUCUGAGGUUCAAACGGCAUGAUCAGUUGCAUUACAAGGAACUGAUAACAGAGAAGUUUUAAGUGAAGGAAGCCCUGUUUAGCUCAGAAAUAUAAUUAUUUACAGAAUAUUUCUUAAAGUUUGUGUUAUUUCUCUGGUAGAAUAUUAAUGGACACACAAAUACCUGGCACUAAAUCCAUGCCAAUUGGCAUUCCAGCAAAGGCUAUAAACCACCUAUCUGCAUAAUACAGGCAAGUUAGAGCUUGUACACCUCAAUGGCAUCUUAUCUUCCAAUAAGUUAACGCUUAGGCCUGUUCCAAUAAGGAACAAGGUUAAGCUUUAUCUUGUCAAAAAUAUAUGGGAUGGAGUUUUAUUGGUCUUUUGUUAGAAUGCAAAUUUUACACUAUUCCCCAGUAAUCACAGCAAAUUUCAAGAGAAUUUCCAUAGAUUAUCUAGCAUAUAUAACUAAAAAAAUAGUCCCAUUAUGAAAACCAUUGCAUAUCUUUCUACACAAAUACCUUCUCUUUUCAUAACAUAAUAUUCAAUUUUUAUCCCCCCCCUAACCCCAGAUUUCUUUACUACUAUCCGGGUUAAGGGGGAAAAAGUAGGUUACUCCUUUGGAAACUUAUUUUUCAUAACUGAUGCAUUGAUUAUGUUGGCUUACAUGAAAAUAGAAAAUACAUUUUUUUUAAAUCACACGUUGGCACAGAACUAACUGUUGGCUUAUAUUGUAAAUGAAUGUUUAACUGCAGGUUACUUUAUAUUUUUAAAAACUGCUUUGUAUAUUAAACAAUAAAAAAUGCAAACACA